ACAACUUUUAUCCUAGGAUACUGGACCAGGAGUCAGAAGAUGAAGGACCAAAGACCAUAAUUCUUAUUACUAUUCUGUUCACGAGUCACUUCACCUAUAUUGCUUCUUCCGGAUCCCUUUUAACUCAUUUCCAGCCAUAAAUGCAUAAGAAUCAAGACUAAGCAGCUAAACAGCCUGGAUUAAAGCAUUACCAGUAUCGCCUGGUGGUGAUUUUGUUGCCACAGCACUGUUUGUGUACCAGCCAUAUGUCCAGCAUUUCAAGGAAAACAGUGUCAGUAUUUCUAAUCUACCUAAAGAACAGAGUUACUUCCAGAACUCCUUUGCUGAAAUUCAUGG